rnacentral:rRNA from 1 species
UGGGGAAUAUUGCGCAAUGGGCGAAAGCCUGACGCAGCCACGCCGCGUGAGUGAUGAAGGCCCGAGGGUCGUAAAGCUCUGUCGGGAGGGAAGAACACAAUGACGGUACCUCCCAAGAAAGCACCGGCUAACUCCGUGCCAGCAGCCGCGGUAAUACGGAGGGUGCAAGCGUUGCUCGGAAUCACUGGGCGUAAAGCGUACGCAGGCGGCUUGCCAAGUCGGAUGUGAAAGCCCGGGGCUCAACCCCGGAACUGCAUUCGAAACUGGCAGACUUGAGUACUGGAGAGGGAAGCGGAAUUCCUGGUGUAGAGGUGAAAUUCGUAGAUAUCAGGAGGAACACCCGUGGCGAA